rnacentral:pre_miRNA from 1 species
AGAGGAAUAACUGGGUCAAAUGGUGGUUCCAUUCCCAGCUUUCCAAGGAAUCUCCAUAAUGCUUUCCAAAUUGACUACACCAUUUUGCAGUCCCACCAGCAAU